CAAGCAUGUUUACGACGAUAAAGGCUCUUGCGAGUUGACAUAUUCGUCGUGUUUUUUAAAGGCAACUUUUCAAACGAAGUUUGUGGAGUUAGGUCAUCCUCCAGUUGGAUGUUGCUCUCUAACUGUACCUAAUUUAUUUGGUCAUUCACAGGCAAUGUCUGUUAUUCUAUGCAACACGAAACUCGACUGCGACAUGGCAAAGGAACGCGGAAUUGUCGCAGAAAUUUUAUCUUUCAAACAUUUCGAGGAGGAGCUCAAUUCACUUUUGGCGAGAUCUUCACUAGUUUCUAGACAGUGCCUUCGAGAAACAGACGUUGAUGGUCAACGGUAAUAUACAAGAACUUGAGGAUAAAAAUCACGAGGAACGCGAUUUGUUUCAAAAGUACAUCAGCAACAUGGCAUCGUAAGAAGAUGGUGGACGAGCUUACAGGAAUGGCUUACCAUCCAGGUAUACUUGCGAUCGGACUUAUAGCGCGUGCAAAUAUUUGUUGUACAUAUAGGAUAUUGUGUCCCCCAAUGAUCCGUUUGUAACCUUUACGCAGCGGAAUUUGUAGCGUUGUUGGUGUAAAUCAUUCGUAACUUGAGUUGAAUAACAAAACAUAUUCGUUCAUUUAA